AUAAAUCUCCCCCUAAGUGCUCCACUAUGGCCCACCGGCCAACUACUAUAUGGACUAAUAAAUAUUCAUAGUUUCCCACUGGGAAAGCUUACAAAUCCAACACUGCGGCCCUGCAUUAUUACUUUGCAAGGAGUUGUCAAAGUAGCUGCUAUCCAGCACAGAGAACGAGAAGAUCACCUGAAAUCUGUCCAGAUUAGACACAGAGCAAAAACAUACCCAAUGUAGAUAUACGUUUUAUUUUAGCAAUUCUUACCUCUCCAGUGUUACCUUGGCUGUGUGCGUAGGCUCAUUGGUUUCUGCAUUCCCUCAACUCGGAUCAUCCUCCCUGUCCGUGCACAGCCCCACAGCAUGACGCUGCAACUACCGUGCUUCACUGUUCGGAUGGUAUUAUCCACGUGGUGAGCAGUGCAUGCUUUCCUCCAGACAUGAUACUUUGAGGCCCAAAAAUUUUAAUCUUGCUUUUAUCAGACCAGAGGGCUUUUUUUGGUUGCAAAAUUCAGAUGGGCUUUCAUAUAUCUUUUAUUGAGGAAAGGAUUAAUUCUGGCCAUUCUGCAAUGAAGCCUAGAUUGGUGGAGUGCGGCAAAGAUUGGUGAUCUUCUGGAAGUUUCUCUCAUCUUCACACAGAUCUUUGGAGCUCUGACACAGUGACCAUUAGGUUCUCGUCCAGCUCUAGAAAGAGUCCUGGUUGUUCCAACCUUCUUCCAUUUAAGAAUUAUGGGGGCCACUGUAAUCUUGAGAAGUGUGCCUCUACACAAUUCUGUCUCUGAGCUCUACAGGCAGUUCUUUCCCCCACUUUGUUUUUACUCUGAUAUACAUUGUAAGCUGUGAGACAUUAUAUAUAGGGUGUGCAUUACCAAAUCCUGUCCAAUCAUUAAAAUUUACCUCAGGUGACUCUAAUCAAGGUGUAGAAACAUCUUAAUGGAGAUAUGGGAGGCCCCCAGAGAUUAAUAUCAGGGCUGGAUACUUAAAGCAUG